UACGGGGGGGGCAAGCGUUGUUCGGAAUUACUGGGCGUAAAGGGCUCGUAGGCGGCCAACUAAGUCGGACGUGAAAUCCCUCGGCUUAACCGGGGAACUGCGUCCGAUACUGGAUGGCUUGAGUUUGGGAGAGGGAUGCGGAAUUCCAGGUGUAGCGGUGAAAUGCGUAGAUAUCUGGAGGAACACCGGUGGCGAAGGCGGCAUCCUGGACCAACACUGACGCUGAGGAGCGAAGGCCAGGGGAGCAAACGGG
rnacentral:rRNA from 1 species